CAGUGCCGAAGCCGACUCCCAUGGUCUAUAUCCGACGCUAACGUACGGAAGCAUAGAGCCUGAUCGGCGAUUACAUACCCCGGUAAUCCACACUGUAAACGAUGGAUAGAUAGGUGUGGGAGCUGCAUUUAACCCUUCCAGGCAGAAGCAAACGCAGUAAGUUUCCCGCAUGGGGACUCCGACCGCAAGGUUGGGACUCGAAGGAAUCUGUCGAGCAUCCGCACAAACACCAGAGCAUGUGUAGUACUUCAGCUGAUACGCGAAAGUACCUGACAUUGGCUUUGACAUAUUGGUAGUAGUGAAGCGAAAGACUGGAACGACCAUUCGGGGAACCAUCAUAGUUACUGCAUGUCGGUAGUCAGUUCGUUUCGUGAGAUGUUGGGUUAAAUCCCGCUACGAGCGCAACCCUUGUCGAUUAGUUAUAUGUGUGUAGAUGAGUCUCCCGGUAUCAAACCAGGAAGAGAAGGUGGAGAAGAUCUCAUCUUAGCAUCGCUCUAUAUAUCCAGGGAUACACACACGAUACUAGUGACCGGUACAAUAGAUUGAUACACCGAGAGGUGGAGCUUAUCCCCAAACACGUCCUCAGUUCGGAUUGUAGUCUCCAAUUCGAUCGCAUGAAGUCGGAUUUGCUAGUAAUCCGCGAGUCACCUAUAGUGCGGUAUAUGCGUUCCCGCGGCGCCUUGUACACACCCCCUCUCACAUCAUGAGAGUCGUUUACACACUGAUGCUCGGUGACCUCCCCGCCAAGGAAGUAGCUGCCUAAGGUGGUGAUCGAUGACUGGGAUGAAGUCGU
rnacentral:rRNA from 1 species